UCCCCGUUGGCCGGGGCAGUCUUGUCUGAAAAAUACAACAAACAAUAAGGGUUGCGCUCGUUGCGGGACUUAACCCAACAUCUCACGACACGAGCUGACGACGGCCAUGCAACACCUGUCACCUGGUUCCCGAAGGCACCCCGCUGUUUCCAGCAGGUUCCAGGGAUGUCAAGCCUCGGUAAGGUUCUUCGCGUAGCUUCGAAUUAAACCACAUGCUCCACCGCUUGUGCGGGCCCCCGCCAAUUCCUUUGAGUUUUAAGCUUGCGCUCGUACUCCCCAGGCGGGAUGCUUAACGCGUUAGCUUCUCAACACAGAGGGUCGAUACUCCAUGCUAAUAGCAUCCAUCGUUUACGGCGUGGACUAC
rnacentral:misc_RNA from 1 species